GGCUGCACGGUGGCACAGUUGGUAGCACUUUUAGCUUGCAGCAAGAAGGCCCUGGGUUUGAAUCCCAGCGUGUGGUCU